UACGUAGGGUGCGAGCGUUAAUCGGAAUUACUGGGCGUAAAGCGUGCGCAGGCGGCUUCGCAAGUCAGGCGUGAAAUCCCCGGGCUUAACCUGGGAAUGGCGUCUGAAACUACGGAGCUGGAGUGUGGCAGAGGGGAGGUAGAAUUCCACGUGUAGCGGUGAAAUGCGUAGAUAUGUGGAGGAAUACCGAUGGCGAAGGCAGCCUCCUGGGCCAACACUGACGCUCAUGCACGAAAGCGUGGGGAGCAAACAGG
rnacentral:rRNA from 1 species